rnacentral:rRNA from 1 species
CCCAGACUCCUACGGGAGGCAGCAGUGGGGAAUAUUGCACAAUGGGGGAAACCCUGAUGCAGCGACGCCGCGUGAGCGAUGAAGUAUUUCGGUAUGUAAAGCUCUCUCAGCAGGGAAGAAAAUGACGGUACCUGACUAAGAAGCCCCGGCUAACUACGUGCCAGCAGCCGCGGUAAUACGUGGGGGGCAAGCGUUAUCCGGAUUUACUGGGUGUAAAGGGAGCGUAGACGGCAAUGCAAGCCAGAUGUGAAAGCCCGGGGCCCAACCGCGGGACUGCAUUGGGAACUACCGGGCUGGAGUGCCGGAGAGGUAGGCGGAAUUCCUAGUGUAGCGGUGAAAUGCGUAGAUAUUAGGAGGAACACCAGUGGCGAAGGCGGCCUACUGGACGGUGACUGACGCUGAGGCUCGAAAGCGUGGGGAGCAAACAGGAUUAGAUCCCCCAGUA